CCCUCCCCUCGGCUGCCGCAGCCCCGCUAGUCGUGCGAGUCAGCGUGGGCUCCCCAGAGCGAGUCGCUAGGUAACAGGGCGGGCUCCGCAGACCCGGGGCUGGGGAAGCCCGGGCGCGUCGUCAGCAGCUACGCUGCGGAGCGGGGUCCGGGGGCGCAGGGACCCUUCCCUGUCCGGGCCUGCUGACCAGGCUGGCCCGCCCCCUCCUCCCAGGACGCCUUAACCCGCGCGGUUCGCCGCCGCCGAGGUGCCCCUCCCUUGCAGGGACCCCGACGCAGCCAGCCCCUUCCUCCUUCCCGGCCGGUGCGCACAGCUCUGCGCGCGGCAGAGUGGGCGCCCCACUGUCGCGGUCGCCCUCGCCGCCGGUCCUCCUGCCGAGCCCCGGCGCGGGGCAUGAGGAGCCCCGGGGCGCCGCCCGGAGACUACCCGGCUGCGCGCACACCUCGACAGCGGCGGACCGGGACAUGAGACGCGCGCGCGGGGUCCGGCGCCCGGCGGCCAGCCCCAGCUGGCAGCGGCCAGCGGAUCGGCGCUGCCCGGGAGAAUGAGGCAGGAGCCGGCGGCUGCCUUCUCUUUCUCCUCCUCUUCGCCUUCCUCCGGCUCAGGCACCCCGGGCCCGGGCCAGGCUGUGGCUCUGCUGCGUGCCCCGCGCGCCCCCCGCCCGCCUCCGGAUGCGCUGCUCGGUUAGCCUGGGGAGGAAGAUAAAGACAUUUGCAACCAAGAUGGUAAUCACGAGCGGAAAUGAUGAAGACAGAGGAGGCCAAGAAAAAGAGAGCAAAGAAGAGAGUGUCUUGGCGAUGCUGGGAAUUAUCGGGACCAUUCUGAACCUAGUCGUCAUCAUAUUUGUAUACAUAUACACCACUCUGUGAAUGGCCCAGAGGGCGCUCAGGCCUUGGGAUGGCCAAAAGACGGGAGUCCUGUGUGUCGGCAGAUCAGUGACAGGACACUGUGCAAACAAGCAGCUUUGACCUACACACACCGUUCAAUCAAAUGUACCUUCGAACUUGAUAAAGGGUCACCAAAAUAAACCGAUCCUGCUGCGAGGAUCAGACACUAAAGCACAAUGAAUCCAGCAAAACUCAUUCACACAGCAAGGAACUCAACGUCGUUGGCAGGGGACCCGAAAGAACGCUUGGAGGACUCGCCUUUGACGUCGUCUGGGAGCGGAUGGGUGCAGAGGUUCAUUAUCCCAGGUCGCUGACGGAUGUCACAUGUUCAAAAAGAGGAACAGGGAGGACGCAGCUCACAGUGGACGCAGCUCAUGGUGUGUCUCCCAGGACACGCAAUUCCUCCUAACUCGAUGAGCUGUUUGGUACAAAAAACCACAGGGACAAUCCUUUGGCAAGCAUCCCAUUCAUGAAAAGUGUCUAUUUGAUACCGGGGAGAUAACUUAUUUUUCUUUUUUCAUUGGCUUGACGUGUGUAUCU